AUUGAACGCUGGCGGCAUGCCUUACACAUGCAAGUCGAACGGUAACAGGUCUUCGGAUGCUGACGAGUGGCAAACGGGUGAGUAAUACAUCGGAACGUGCCUAGUAGUGGGGGAUAACUACUCGAAAGAGUGGCUAAUACCGCAUGAGAUCUACGGAUGAAAGCAGGGGAUCGCAAGACCUUGUGCUACUAGAGCGGCCGAUGGCAGAUUAGGUAGUUGGUGGGAUAAAAGCUUACCAAGCCGACGAUCUGUAGCUGGUCUGAGAGGACGAUCAGCCCCACUGGGACUGAGAGACGGCACAGACUCCUACGGGAGGCAGCAGUGGGGAAUUUUGGACAAUGGGCGCAAGCCUGAUCCAGCAAUGCCGCGUGCAGGAUGAAGGCCUUCGGGUUGUAAACUGCUUUUGUACGGAACGAAAAGCCCUGGGUUAAUACCCUGGGGUCAUGACGGUACCGUAAGAAUAAGCACCGGCUAACUACGUGCCAGCCGCCGCCGUAAAAC
rnacentral:rRNA from 1 species